rnacentral:lncRNA from 1 species
AUGAUGCUUGUGAAACAGUCUCCACUGGAAAUAUCAUACAGAGAUAUAUUCAGAGAUGAUAUGGAACGGGGAAGAUCAGGUAAAAACUGGCAAAGAAAAUGCCUAGCAUUUAUAGCCCCUAUAACCGUCCACAAAGUUUUUUGUGGCUUUGUCACUAUUUUUGUCCUGGCUGCAGUUAUAAUUGCACUUUCAGUUGCUUUGGCAGAGACAACAGGUCCUCAGGAUUGUUCAGCACAAUUAAAGAUUGUGCAUGAAGAGAUGACUUAUCCACAGUGGUAAGUAGUCUUUUUGUGCAUUCUAAUCAAAUUAGUGGUCUUCAAAAGAGGUCAUAAAACAUGAUUUAAAACAUUUUGAAAAACUAAGAACAUCUCUGCAAAUUAUUUUGUUUUCAUCUAAACUUGCUAAUUGAUUAAAAUGUUUGCAAAUGAUAACAUUUUCUGCAACAUUGUAUGUAUUGAAUUUUUAAAUUUGAUCUGUUAUAUUGUACUUUUAAGUGUACCUACUGCAAUUUAAUACUUUUGUGACUGAUACUGUCAUUCAUUUGAAAAAUACAUGCAUAAAAACUUUCUUAAUAUUGGAAAAUUUAAUUUGUUCUUUUUCUUCUUAAAUGCUUGUUCACAUUGUAUUUCCUCUCUAGAUUAAUUACAGAGUAAUAUGUGAUAUUAUGAAGGAUAUCUUUGUAUCCUUAAAAGUAAUUUAUCAUAUCCAGUUUAAUAUUUUUAUCAUUUUUAUGCCAUAAAAUAUGCAUAUAGACUAAGAUUUAAUUUCAUAAAAUUUCUUGUGACCACGAGAAUCUGUUAAAAUAAUUUUUCAGGAUUAACUUAGAAAUACAAGUUUUGUAAUAUUCAUUUUUUUCAAUGCACCUUAAAUUGUGAAGAUUCUAAAAAAUAAGAAUGCAUUAUCCUAUAUAAUGCCUCUUAAUGAUUUGUCUGAAUGCAGUGUAAUGUAUAACUAAACUUUGAAUUACCUGUUAAUUAGGGGAUGUGAUGAAAUACAUAAUGUUUAUUUCAAAAUCCCUACACAUAAAUGUAUUACACUCUGGUAUUUGGGUUUUGGAAGUUAUUAGAAUAAUGUAUGAAAAUUCAGAGAGAAUACCAUUACUGAAGUUUGUCUUCAUGAUGAAAAUUUUCCCAUGAAUAUGAUGAAAAAGAGUAGUCUGAACUACUGAUCCUCUGUUCCCUCAAGAAAAACCUUUAUUGGUCCAGAAGUUAGUAUAUAGUUUCAUUUUUUCUUAAUAGAAGAACAGUUGAAACAUUUUAUGUGAUGAAAAAAGAUGGGGGUUGAGUACGCUUGGCGUAUAUAUUUCAUGAUAUGAUUUGUUAAAACUAGCUUUAACUACCUCAAUGAAUAAUGCACAAGUCUAAAAAUAAUCAGGUAAGUGUUUUACCAAUGGAUUUUAUUCCAUGUAACCUGAAAAAUUAGGUAAUCUCUGAAAACAGUUCAGUGAUACUAAUCUUCCUGCUUGGUUAUUCUAAUUUGCUUUUCCCUCCCAAUUACUCACCCUAGGGAUGAGGCUUAGAAAUAGUCUUAAAGAAUUGCUUACCUUUAAGUAAAGGGAAAUAAAAACCAUCUUUGGUGUUCAAUAUUUCUUACCCAUGUCUUUUUGUUUUGGUCUCACUAAACCUUCCAAAAAGCAAUGCAUUCUUUUUGGAAGCUAAGAGAGGAAAAGGUGAGGUAAUGAAACAAAAAUUUCUAUCCUUCCCAUAGCCUACACUGAAAUAUUGUUGGGUUCAUAAUAUUUAACAAGGACCAGAAUAUUACGUAUACACAUUUAAUAGAAACAUAUAAAACAGAAAAAUACAGGAAGGUCUAGAUACUAUUUAUGAUACCUAAGACAAUAUUUUGAACUGCAUUGUGUUUUCUUAACUUGGACCAUAAAAUGUGCCACAGCAAAAUCCAGGAUAGUAGGGAUUGUCCUCUCUUCUGACAAGAAGAAGAAAGGCUAAUAUGAAUGAGGAUGCGUGAAAAAAAAUCUAUAUGGUACUAACGAAAAGUAUGAAGGAAGGUAAUGCUGUGAAAAAUGGACUUCCUCAAGACUAUCCCCACCAUGUGCCC